CCUACGGGGGGCAACAGUGGGGAAUAUUGGACAAUGGGGGCAACCCUGAUCCAGCCAUGCCGCGUGUGUGAAGAAGGCCCUCGGGUUGUAAAGCACUUUCAGUGAGGAAGAACGCCUGGUGGUUAAUACCCAUCAGGAAAGACAUCACUCACAGAAGAAGCACCGGCUAACUCCGUGCAGCAGCCGCGGUAAUACGGAGGGUGCGAGCGUUAAUCGGAAUUACUGGGCGUAAAGCGCGCGUAGGUGGCUUGAUAAGCCGGUUGUGAAAGCCCCGGGCUCAACCUGGGAACGGCAUCCGGAACUGUCAAGCUAGAGUGCAGGAGAGGAAGGUAGAAUUCCCGGUGUAGCGGUGAAAUGCGUAGAGAUCGGGAGGAAUACCAGUGGCGAAGGCGGCCUUCUGGACUGACACUGACACUGAGGUGCGAAAGCGUGGGUAGCAAACAGGAUUAGAUACCCUGGUAGUC
rnacentral:rRNA from 1 species